rnacentral:rRNA from 1 species
GAUGAACGCUGGCGGCGUGCUUAACACAUGCAAGUCGAACGGAAAGACGCUGCUUUUGCGGGGUUCUCGAUUGGCGAACGGGUGUGUAACACGUGAGUAUCCUGCCCUUGACUGUGUGAUAACUUCAGGAAACUGGGGCUAAUACCGCAUAGGAGCUCCUGCAGCAUGGGGGGGGUUGGAGAGUUUAGGCGGUUGGGGAUGGACUCGCGGGUUAUGAGCUUGUUGGUGGGGUAGUGGCUUACAAAGGCUUUGACGGGUAGGCGGCCUGGGAGGGUGACCAGGCACAUUAGGACUGAGGUAGGGCGCAGUCGGCAACGGGAGGCAGUGGGCGAAAGUCUUACGCAGCGAGCCGGAGCGUGAGACGACAGUGCCGCGAGCGUGAUGCCGGCCUACGAGUGAUAAACCGCUUUCGCCUGAGACGAAGCGGGAUUGACGGUAAUGAGUAAAGAAGCACCGGCUAACUACGUG